UUCCAUCGUCUGUUCACCGUCGCCGGGAAACAAUCUCCGAUGAUCGCCAUUUCGGACGCACGAGAUACCGUUGUUCGUCGCUUCGGGCGCACGAGCCAUUGUUGUGCGUCGUUUCUCCGCCGUGCCGGAAGACAGCCUGGUUCCGUUGCGGUCCUGUUCGUAGACGAUCGUGAAGACUUGGCGCUGCUUCCAAACCAGGUAAGACUUCUUUCUCGUGUGUACACUGUUUUUGGCCGAGAGAAGUUGAUCCGAUUGCCGAGUUUGUGGAAAAUUCUUGCUAAAAUGCGACUGAUCCGUUAUAGAACAACUUGAUUUAGAUGCUUAUACAUCGCUCCUCGAUUGAGAAUCAUGUUCAAAUCAAACUGGAAGUUCGUCCUUUAAGUCGCGCAACGCCCGUUUGACAAAAUGCUUAAAUGAAGAACCGAAUCGAUUUAUGUGAAAUCGAUGCUUGGGGCUCGUUCUUUUAUUCUUGAUUUGUUCUUUGAUCGAUGAAUCACAAUACUGAAUCCGUGUUUUUCCUUGAUUCUGUGGCGUUCAUUUAUAACGGUCCGGCCAUGGAUGAGACUUCCGUCGGAGAUAUAUUCCCAUCGCCGGAGCUAAAGCCAGCGGUUUGAGGCCGCCACAACUUGCACUCCCUUGGGAUGAUCUCUCGGUUAAAAGUAUCGGGUUUCUACUGCGUUAAACUAACAAGUGGUAUCGAAGUUGAUGAUUCGAAGAUCUCCACAUGAAGCAUGCCACAGUUAAGUAAUGCAAUACAAGCUGUUUAGAGACCCGUUCAUGAUGUGAAGUGAACUCAUGAUCUUGUGAAACCACCUUGGUAGUCCUGAACUUGAAUUCUGAUUUUGAUUAACAUUCUAACAAUAAAAUGUAUUUAAGGCCUCAAUAAAGCACCCAAAUUUUUAUUUGACUUUUUUUU